rnacentral:rRNA from 1 species
GUGGGGAAUCUUGCGCAAUGGGCGAAAGCCUGACGCAGCCAUGCCGCGUGAAUGAUGAAGGUCUUAGGAUUGUAAAAUUCUUUCACCGGGGACGAUAAUGACGGUACCCGGAGAAGAAGCCCCGGCUAACUUCGUGCCAGCAGCCGCGGUAAUACGAAGGGGGCUAGCGUUGCUCGGAAUUACUGGGCGUAAAGGGCGCGUAGGCGGACAGUUUAGUCAGAGGUGAAAGCCCAGGGCUCAACCUUGGAAUUGCCUUUGAUACUGGCUGUCUUGAGUACGGGAGAGGUGAGUGGAACUCCGAGUGUAGAGGUGAAAUUCGUAGAUAUUCGGAAGAACACCAGUGGCGAAGGCGACUCACUGGCCCAAUACUGACGCUGAGGCGCGAAAGCGUGGGGAGCAAACAGGAUUAGAAACCCGUGUAGUCC